AACGAACGCUGGCGGCAUGCCUAACACAUGCAAGUCGAACGAGACCUUCGGGUCUAGUGGCGCACGGGUGCGUAACGCGUGGGAACCUGCCCUUAGGUUCGGAAUAACUCCCCGAAAGGGGUGCUAAUACCGGAUAAUGUCUUCGGACCAAAGAUUUAUCGCCUUUGGAUGGGCCCGCGUUGGAUUAGCUAGUUGGUAGGGUAAAAGCCUACCAAGGCGACGAUCCAUAGCUGGUCUGAGAGGAUGAUCAGCCACACUGGGACUGAGAGACGGCCCAGACUGAGACGGGAGGAAGCAGUGGGGCAUAGUGCACAAUGGGAGCAAGCCGGAUGCAGUGAGGGAGCGUGAGAGAUGGCGGCCUUCGGGUUGUGAACCACUUUCGCGAGUGAAGCAGGCGUGCUCCGUGUGGGGGGGUUGACGGUAGCUGGAUAAGAAGCGCCGGCUAACUACGUG
rnacentral:rRNA from 1 species